GUCUACGGCCAUACCACCCUGAACGCGCCCGAUCUCGUCUGAUCUCAGAAGCUAAGCAGAAUCCGGCCUGGUUAGUACUUGGAUGAGAGACCGCCUGGGAAUACCGGGUGCUGUAGGCU
ensembl:rRNA 5S_rRNA 5S ribosomal RNA